rnacentral:pre_miRNA from 1 species
UAAUUACUCCCUCCGUUCAGAAUUACUUGUCUUGGAAAUGGAUGUAUCUAAAACUAAAAUACGUUUAGAUAUAUCCAUUUUCACGACAAGUAAUUUCAAACGGAGGGAGUACUAA